rnacentral:rRNA from 1 species
UAGGGAAUCUUCGGCAAUGGACGAAAGUCUGACCGAGCAACGCCGCGUGAGUGAAGAAGGUUUUCGGAUCGUAAAACUCUGUUGUUAGAGAAGAACAAGGACGUUAGUAACUGAACGUCCCCUGACGGUAUCUAACCAGAAAGCCACGGCUAACUACGUGCCAGCAGCCGCGGUAAUACGUAGGUGGCAAGCGUUGUCCGGAUUUAUUGGGCGUAAAGCGAGCGCAGGCGGUUUCUUAAGUCUGAUGUGAAAGCCCCCGGCUCAACCGGGGAGGGUCAUUGGAAACUGGGAGAAUUGAGUGCAGAAGAGGAGAGUGGAAUUCCAUGUGUAGCGGUGAAAUGCGUAGAUAUAUGGAGGAACACCAGUGGCGAAGGCGGCUCUCUGGUCUGUAGCUGACGCUGAGGCUCGAAAGCGUGGGGAGCAAACAGG